rnacentral:rRNA from 1 species
GCUUACGGCCAUACCACCCUGAGCACGCCCGAUCUCAUCUGAUCUCGGAAGCUAAGCAGUGUCGGGCCUGGUUAGUACUUGGAUGGGAGACCGCCUGGGAAUACCAUGUGCUGUAAGCU